rnacentral:rRNA from 1 species
GUGGGGAAUUUUGGACAAUGGGCGCAAGCCUGAUCCAGCAAUGCCGCGUGCAGGAAGAAGGCCUUCGGGUUGUAAACUGCUUUUGUACGGAACGAAACGGUCCUGGUUAAUACCUGGGGCUAAUGACGGUACCGUAAGAAUAAGCACCGGCUAACUACGUGCCAGCAGCCGCGGUAAUACGUAGGGUGCGAGCGUUAAUCGGAAUUACUGGGCGUAAAGCGUGCGCAGGCGGUGCUGUAAGACAGGCGUGAAAUCCCCGGGCUCAACCUGGGAAUUGCGCUUGUGACUGCAGUGCUGGAGUACUGCAGAGGGGGAUGGAAUUCCGCGUGUAGCAGUGAAAUGCGUAGAUAUGCGGAGGAACACCGAUGGCGAAGGCAGUCCCCUGGGCCUGUACUGACGCUCAUGCACGAAAGCGUGGGGAGCAAACAGGAUUAGAUACCCCGGUAGUCC